rnacentral:tRNA from 1 species
GCUGGUGUAGCUCAGCUGGCAGAGCAGUUGAUUUGUAACCAACAGGUCGCAGGUUCGAUCCCUGUCACCAGCUCCA